rnacentral:rRNA from 1 species
GGUUAAGUGACUAAGCGUACACGGUGGAUGCCUAGGCAAUCAGAGGCGAAGAAGGACGUGCUAAUCUGCGAAAAGCUUGGAUGAGUUGAUAAGAAGCGUUUAAUCCAAGAUAUCCGAAUGGGGAAACC